UACGGGGGGGGUAAGCGUUGUUCGGAAUUACUGGGCGUAAAGGGCUCGUAGGCGGCCAACUAAGUCAUACGUGAAAUCCCUCAGCUUAACUGGGGAACUGCGUGUGAUACUGGAUGGCUUGGAUGUGGGAGAGGGAUGCGGAAUUCCAGGUGUAGCGGUGAAAUGCGUAGAUAUCUGGAGGAACACCGGUGGCGAAGGCGGCAUCCUGGACCAUUAUUGACGCUGAGGCGCGACAGCGUGGGGAGCAAACAGG
rnacentral:rRNA from 1 species